UACGAGGGGGGCGAGCGUUGUUCGGAAUUAUUGGGCGUAAAGGGCGCGUAGGCGGUGCGGUAAGUCACCUGUGAAAUCUCCGGGCUCAACUCGGAGCCUGCAGGCGAAACUGCCGUGCUAGAGGGUGGGAGAGGUGCGUGGAAUUCCCGGUGUAGCGGUGAAAUGCGUAGAUAUCUGGAGGAACACCGGUGGCGAAGGCGGCGUUCUGGACUGCAACUGACACUGAGGAACGAAAGCCAGGGGAGCAAACGGG
rnacentral:rRNA from 1 species